GUGCAGCAGUCGCGAAACCUCCACAAUACACGAAAGUGUGACGGGGCCAUCCCGAGUGCCGUCCGCUGAGGACGGCUUUUCCCAGUGUACAUAGCUGGGGGAAUAAGGAGAGGGCAAGCCUGGUGUCAGCCGCCGCGGUAAUACCAGCUCUCCGAGUGGUGGGGACGCUUAUUGGGCCUAAAGCAUCCGUAGCCGGCCGGGCAAGUCCUCCGUUAAAUCCAACGAUUCAAUCGUUGGGCUGCGGGGGAUACUGUCCAGCUUGGGGGCGGGAGAGGCCGACGGUAUUCCCGGGGUAGGGGUGAAAUUCUAUAAUCCCGGGAGGACCACCAGUGGCGAAGGCUGUCGGCUAGAACGCGCCCGACGGUGAAGGAUGAAAGCUGGGGGAGCGAACCGGAUUAGAUACCCGUGUAGU
rnacentral:rRNA from 1 species